GGAGAGGUUCCCGAGUGGCUAAAGGGAGCAGACUGUAAAUCUGCCGGCUCUGCCUUCGUUGGUUCGAAUCCAACCCUCUCCA
rnacentral:tRNA from 1 species